GGUGUAACGAUCUGGGCGCUGUCUCAGCCAUGAGCUCGGUGAAAUUGUGGUCCCGGUGAAGACGCCGGGUACCCGCAACGGGACGGAAAGACCCCAUGCACCUUCACUACAAUUUAACAUUGACAUUGGAUACAGGAUGUGUAGGAUAGGUGGGAGGCUUUGAAGCGGCGUCGCUAGGCGUCGUGGAGCCAACGUUGAAAUACCACCCUUUCUGUAUUCGGUGUCUAAUCCCUUUAUGAGGGAGACAUUGUUUGAUGGGUAGUUUGACUGGGGUGGUCGCCUCCAAAAAGGUAACGGAGGCUUU
rnacentral:ncRNA from 1 species